ensembl:snoRNA SNORA72 Small nucleolar RNA SNORA72
CCGUGAAUAUUUUCUCUGUCCUAAUUUUAUAAUAAUCAGAGGGCACCAAACUCCAUUCAACUUAUGAAGACAAUGCAGAUACAUUCCGUUCUAGCUCUAUUCCUAAAGCUGUUUUGGUAAAUGCUGGUGAUACAC